rnacentral:misc_RNA from 1 species
GAUGAAGAACGUAGCGAAAUGCGAUACGUAAUGUGAAUUGCAGAAUUCAGUGAAUCAUCGAAUCUUUGAACGCAUAUUGCGCUCUCUGGUAUUCCGGAGAGCAUGCUUGUUUGAGUAUCAGUAAACACCUCAACUCCCUUUUCUUUUUUGAAAUUGGAGCUGGACUUGAGUGAUCCCAACGCUUUCUUCCAAGAAAGUGGCGGGUUGCUUGAAAUGCAGGUGCAGCUGAACUUUUCUCUGAGCUAUAAGCAUAUCUAUUUAGUCUGCCUAAAAAACAGAUUAUUACCUUUGCUGCAGCUAACAUAAAGGAGACUAGUUCUUGUGCUGACUGAUGCGGAUUCACAGAGACAGCUUCGGCUGACUUUGUAAACUCGAUCUCAAAUCAAGUAAGACUACCCGCUGAACUUAAGCAUAUCAAUAAGCGGAGGA